rnacentral:rRNA from 1 species
UACUAGAGUAGCACUCGCAUAUCAAUAAGCGGAGGAAAAGAAACUAACAAGGAUUCCCUUAGUAACGGCGAGUGAAGCGGGAAGAGCUCAAAUUUGAAAUCUUCAAGGUUCUACCUUGACGAAUUGUAGUUUAUAGAAGUGUUUUCUGUUAGUGGAGUGGCAAAAGUUCUUUGGAAUAGGACAUCAUAGAGGGUGAGAAUCCCGUAUUUGGUCAUUCCUCCUAGCGUUGUGAUACACUUUCAACGAGUCGGAUUGUUUGGGAAUGCAGUCCAAAAUGGGUGGUAAAUUUCAUCUAAAGCUAAAUAUUGGCGAGAGACCGAUAGCGAACAAGUACCGUGAGGGAAAGAUGAAAAGAACUUUGAAAAGAGAGUUAAACAGUACGUGAAAUUGUCAAAAGGGAAGCGUUUGACACCAGUGUUGUUUUUCCGAAAAUCAAUUACGAAUGUUUUGUUUUUGAGGAGUUAUGACUUCAUCGGCUUGCUCCUUUCUUUACGAAACUUUCUUAAUGCACUUUUCGGUUAACAAGUCAACAUCAAUUUCUUUUGUUGUAAAAGGGUAUGAGGAAGGUGGCUUUCUUUUCGGAGAAAGUGUUUAUAGCCUUGUAGCCUCUGCAAUCGGAGAGAUUGAGGUCUGCAGCGUAGAUCCUUCGGGGUUAGAUACAGUUUGUGCUAAGUUAUAGCUUUUCAUAGACAACUUGUUGACUAUGUUUAGUCUUGUAGCUUACUCGCUUAUGCUAUUUUACCUACGCUUAGGAUGUUGAAGAUGUAGCACAUCAU